UACGUAGGGGGCAAGCGUUGUCCGGAUUUAUUGGGCGUAAAGAGCGUGUAGGCGGCCACACAGGUCUGCUGUGAAAACUCGAGGCUCAACCUCGAGCUGUCGGUGGAAACCGUGUGGCUAGAGUCCGGAAGAGGAGAGUGGAAUUCCCGGUGUAGCGGUGAAAUGCGCAGAUAUCAGGAGGAACACCGGUGGCGAAGGCGGAUCUCUGGGCCAUUACUGACGCUGAGGAGCGAAAGCGUGGGGAGCGAACAGG
rnacentral:rRNA from 1 species